rnacentral:rRNA from 1 species
UACGGAAGGUCCGGGCGUUAUCCGGAUUUAUUGGGUUUAAAGGGAGCGCAGGCGGGGAGCUAAGCGUGACGUGAAAUGUAGCCGCUCAACGGCUGCACUGCGUCGCGAACUGGUUUUCUUGAGUGAGUGCGACGUCAGCGGAAUUCGUGGUGUAGCGGUGAAAUGCUUAGAUAUCACGAAGAACCCCGAUUGCGAAGGCAGCUGACGAGCCCUUUACUGACGCUAAAGCUCGAAGGUGCGGGUAUCGAAC